GAUGAAGAACGCAGCGAAAUGCGAUAAGUAGUGUGAAUUGCAGAAUUCCGUGAAUCAUCGAAUCUUUGAACGCACAUUGCGCCUUCUGGUAUUCCGGAAGGCAUGCCUGUUCGAGAGUCAUUAACAACCGUUUCGAUCCCUUUCUUUCAGAAAUUACAGAGAGGAAAAGGGUUUGGUUAUGGUGGAGGAGGGAAAGGGAGCGUUUAGCCUGUAAAAAAAGAGGCUGUGUUCCGCCUCCCCCCCAAAAUUGUACAGGCGGUCGUGUGCGCCCACGCAUCGAGGUGUUGUAAAAGCUGCCACGGCACUUUUCACCUGUGCAGUGCGAGAUUGGCCAGCCGGUUUAAAAACCCCUCCAAACAAUCAAAGGUUGACCUCGGAUCAGGUAGGGAUACCCGCUGAACUUAAGCAUAUCAAUAAGCGGAGGA
rnacentral:misc_RNA from 1 species